CACAAACCAUAAACGUUUGGCUCUCUGACCCUGGCCAUGACCACAGAGAUCUGCAGUAGAUGCUCUUUCACGUCCUCCCUGUUACACUCUCCCUUCCAGCUGCCUCAGCAAGGCUGGUCUGGGCUAGGGGGAGAAGUGCUGCAAGUGAUACCCAUGGCACAAAUAGGGAAAGACCCAGCUCCAGGUGGGGAAGCAAAGCUGGCAAGAAGCCAGACUGCAGAAAACACAUGGGAAAACCAAGCCUGAAGGAACAAGAAGAGGACAGAGAGAAGAACCAAAAGGAUAAUUGCAGGCAGGGAGUCUGAGCUGUUUGCCAGAGCAGAGGAUCCUUAGUGGUGGGACAGAAACACUCUGCAGCUGCACAGAAAUGCAUGGAUCUUACUAGCUCGUAUCCUGAAGAUCUUUGGUCUUUGGCACUAUGGUCUGGGCACCAAACUCUUGCAGGUUGCUACAGUGGGAAGCUGGGAAGCAGAACCUCCCCCGAAGGAUUCACAGCACCACCCACAUCAGCAUCGCUGCAGCUGCGGGCUUGUUGUCUCCUCUGCGUCUCCUCAGGGGAUGUGUCUGCUAACAGGGCUGUGCAAGUGAGACUGAGGGGCACUGGGCAAACAGGAUUUGCCAUCUCCAGUCAGAGGUAACAAAACUGUUUCCUGCACAACCUGAACUGGCAGCUGCAGGUGUCUAAACUUGGAAAGGAAAGGGCAGCAGGGAAGAAGAAAGACAGAAGGAAUAGAGACAACCCCACCACAUAGUCUGAAUGUAUUUCUUUUUUCCUGGAAGAGCUGCCAUGAGCACUGGGAUCUCUCCUUUGUUCUCUGAGAGUUGGUGGCUGAUGCCUGUCAGUUCAUAAGGAUCAUGGGUAGCUCUGAGAGCAUCUCAGGGGGUGAAAUCUCUUCCUUCCCCUCUCUUCAACUCUGAUCUGCUGUGCUGGAGCUGGUACAUGCCAUAUGUGGCCUAUCCCCAUCAGUCCCAGCCAGCAGAGUUCAGUUCUCCUCCCCAUAACAGGCAGAAUUCAGCCUCUGGCUGCUUCCUUGGCUCUUUCCAUCACAGGACUUUUUUCAUCUACAUCUCAACUUUGCCAGAAGUGAACAGUUUGAACUGAAAUUGCCCACACUGAUUAUCCCUUUUGGGUUUUCAGUCAAAACAUUUCUAGUGUUUCCACUGGGAACAGCCAGCUGUGCUGGGAAGGGAAAGGCUGAGAAACUGAGGGGCUGGAGAAGGGGAUUGGGUAUGGAGGGAGAGAGAUUUGCAAGAGGCAGGGAAGUAGAUACAGGUGCUAUGGUCUUGACUGUGCAUUGUGUUUAAGUACCUGCCACAGGACUGUGCAAAAGUGGAGAGAGGUGGUGCAGGAGAACCAGAGAAGCUUCAGCUCCAGCCCACCCUCCUUGAGCAGAUGUUUCACUGCCACAAUCCUGGAGGCAAAGUCAUGAGAGCUGGGGCGGGAGAAGAGCUGCUGACAUGCUCAGCAGCCAGCAGGAUGGCCUGUUGCCUUCCUCCUUGGCAGCUGUGUGUGGUGGGGCCCCCCCAAAACCUGAUGGAAGAUUGGGAUGUGGCUCCUUCCAGGGAACCCUGGGUGACACAUAGCUACACUUAAUUAUGUGGGGCUUACAGAGCACAGUACAGAAUUUGAGGUAUUUUCUCCUUCCUGGGCUUGUUCCAUCCUGGAUUCACAUGCACACAGCACUGACCUCAGGGCUUGGAUCAGUGAAGGCAGCAGCAAGUGUGCAAUUCUCCUUCCAGGGGGUAAAGGAUAGGUAUGGUUCAUGCACAGCUCAGAUGAUGGCUUUUCCAGGGUUCUCCUCUUGCUUGGUCUGUAUAGCUGGCAAAAAUCUCACAGGACAUCUGCCUACAAUGGGAGAGAGAAAGUAACUAUUCUUAUGCAUGUGGUACCCUUGAAAGUUGCCUCAGCAAAUAAAUGAGCACAGAGAAAUGACCCUCAUUGUUGGGGCAAAGCUGCAAAUCAGGUCAGUCUGGAGCAAGAACAAAUACUUCUCUGGUGGGUGCAGCUUUCCUCAUGGCAUAACUCUUCUGUGGGUAUACAAAGACUUUCAUCUGCAGGACUGUAAUUUCGGUGUUUUUCAUUGGAAGUUACAUUUCUGCUUUAAGUUAAAAAGAAGAGCCAGUGCUCUUGGUUCAGACAAUGGCAGAAGACUUGACUUGUGUGUCUAUGGUGGUUUUUUUUCCUUAUAGAGUGUGAAGGAAAAGAGUCUUGUUCUAUAAGUGUCAUCCAACUGACAUGAAGUGGCCAAAAUGCGAGCGGAAGAAAAGAAAAAGAGGAAAAGAAAUUGUAUGUCUACUAAUUUUUUGCUCUUGCCAUUUCCACCAUCUGACUUACAAAGGUAAUGCAAAGGCUGCACUUCCAUCCCAGGCUGUGAUGCCAGUGCUGGGUACUGCUAUGAUAAGCAGUUCCCAAUUUAACUGAAAGGGAGGGCACAAUAGUGCAGAGACAAAGCAACAAAAUGUGCAGUUUUUACUUAAGCAUUUCAUUCCUGCAGUUCCUCUUGCCAGAUUGUUUUCUUCUUUUUUCCAAGUCUCCUCUUUUAAAUUUCACCUUGGAGCUGGAGGGCUGGCUCAGCCCAGCUGCCCAGAGCUGCUGUAUGCUCACACAAACCACAGCCAGAUGAGCCCAGCCUGGCUUUGAAACACGUUUUUGCUAAAACUCUGCCAUUUCUAGGUCUCCCCCUCCAAUAUCAGCCCUCGAUGGGUGCCCACAGAAAGCUUUUGUCUCUCCAGACCCGCCGGGCUCGACUCAGAGGCAGGUGUCCCGAUUUCCAGGCAGGCAGGGAGCAGCCUGGCUGUGGAAAGUGAUAAGCCCUUGGUCAGCACAGCGUUUAUCUCCCCAGCAGUGGCAGCAGCAGACAAGAACAGCGUGUCCUUGACCCAGACAGGCGCUGGGUACGCCAGGCUGCUGACAGCUGAGCUGGGGAAUGCUAUCCCAAAUCCCAAGCCACACGGGAGCAGGAGGAGUGCUCCCAUGGGGAGCACAGGAGCUCCAGACCCCAACCAGCAGCCACUCACUUGUCUGGUUCAGCCUUUGGGGUGAUGCCACCUCACGCCCCUGACUCCUGGAUGUCUCACAGGGACCAUGACUCCCAAAUACAGGAGAACAUGGACAGCCUGGCACUAAGCAGCAGUUCUGGGUUGCUGGAGGGAAACUGAGGGAGGCACUGUGUGUGGCUUUUCAUUUUCUUCUCAUUUUUCCCCCCCUUGUCUGUUUUCUGGAAAAAAUAAAAGCCCUUUAAUUGUGCGAGUUACCAUCUGGAGGUCAGGCCGUUGUGAACAAUAAAGCUUAGGUUGUAAUUAUAUUUAUUCUGGGUAGGUUUCUGCUUGCAACUCAUUUUAAUGCCUUGGGCCUCCCUGGUACGUUCAGCUACGGGAGCAGAGUUAAUUGGAGGCGUCUGGCUUAAAUACUAAAGGUUACUUGAAACCUGCAAUUUCGGACAGAUUAAAGAAAUCUGUGAAAGCACUCAAACGAACCACAGAUCCUGAAGCGCACCCAUAGUACAACUUCUAUUAGCUUGCAGUAGACCACAGACAUGGAAAAAUGCUUUCAAUGAAUAUUGGUUGAGGAAAAAGCUAAGCAUUUGUGAUUUACAAAGUACCCGUGGCAAUUAAUUGAGCUGUUGGCCAUGACACAGCCUUGCCUUCCUUACUGAAGCAACUGGGAUAUGGCUUACAGCACCUAUGGAAAGAUUUGGCAGGGUGAGGAAUUAUCUUUAAUGUCUUUAGGAGAAUCUUAGCUAAAAAACCACCCUCUCCUCACUCACUAACCCCUCACACCAGCCCUCUCCCCACUCUUUUGUCCCAAGCCUGUCUUCUGGAGAUCAAUUCUCUGUGCACUCUCCUGGGGGCUGUGAUGAAGCAGAAAUGAUGGCUGCAUUCAUCUUCAGACAUUAUCCUCCCAUUGCCACCACAUCUUUCAGUAAUACAGAGGCCUGGCAUGGCUUGUUCCCUGAGAUGAGCCAUUAAUGCCACGAGCUGUGAAGAGGGAGGGACUGGGAGGCAGCUGAGCAUGAACCGGGCUUGUGCCAUGGUGUCUGGACUCAGUCCUAAAAUUUAGUGUGGGAAGGGCUUUCCCUGAACAGCAGAGACACAGCAAAUGUCUCCCUCCAUUCUGGUAUGAGACUGUGAAGAUGACAGGCAUCUGUGAGGGAUGAGGGGGAAGGGGUGUAAAGGCAGCUUGCUUAAAAUCAGUUGUCACAUUGGAGGGAACAGCUGGCAAGUCGAUGUGUGAUUAGGCUUGACCCAACAGUUGGUCCUGACCCCAUGUGGGAAUGAUGUCCUUUCAGGGAGGAGAAGAAUGCCCAGGCUUUGUGGGCUAACAGGCUCAGAAGAUACCAUCUUCCCUUUGUCCCACAUCUCUCUGAGUUUUGUAUACGCUGCUUUUUGUGGUUGGGGGCUAAAGAACAAAAGGAAAUGUUUUAAACACAGAGUUUGUUCAACGUGUCCAUCUCAUGUUCGUGGUAUGCUGAGCUGGCCAGGCUGCGCUGAGGUCAAGAAGUGAAGUUAGUUUUGGUUGUGCAUUGAAAUUUAUCAGUAGAAUAAGGAUAAAUAUCCUGGCAGUGAAAGGCCCACCUCAGUUCCAUUGCUGAGAAGGCUUUUCCUGGGAUAGAUUCUGCUUCCAGAGCCCGAACAGAAAGAACCGGCUCAAAAGAGGAGUCAGGGGAGACCAGAGGUUCCUUUUAAUAUCUUGUCAGUAAAUACUGUGUGCUCAGACACACAGUAUGAGACACAGAAAAA